UGACCUCGGAUCAGGUAGGAAUACCCGCUGAACUUAAGCAUAUCAAUAAGCGGAGGAAAAGAAACCAACAGGGAUUGCCCUAGUAACGGCGAGUGAAGCGGCAACAGCUCAAAUUUGAAAUCUGGCUCUCGGGCCCGAGUUGUAAUUUGUAGAGGAUGACUUUGAUGCGGUGCCUUCCGAGUUCGGGUGAGAGCCCCGUCUGGUUGGA
rnacentral:ncRNA from 1 species